GGUUAAGUAACAUAAAGGUAAUGUGCUGGAUUGCAAAUCCAUCAAUGACGGUUCGAGUCCGUCCUUAACCU
rnacentral:tRNA from 1 species